AUGAAGGAUCUAGGAGUAGCUGAUGUUAUCUUAAACAUCAAGCUGUUGAGAGAUGAGAAUGGUGGAAUCACACUGCUUCAGUCUCACUAUGUGGAAAAGGUCUUAAGUCGUUUUGGUUAUAGCGACUGCACGCCUUCUCCAACUCCAUAUGAUGCUAGUGUUGCCACGAGGCCUGACAUCUCUUUUGCUGUGAGCAAGCAGAGUCGGUUUGUGUCAAAACCGGGAGAUGAUCAUUGGCAUGCGCUUGAGAGAGUUAUGCGCUAUUUGAAAGGCAUCGCGAGCUAUGGGAUUCACUACACCGGGUAUCCAAGGGUACAGGAGGGUUAUAGUGACUCAAACUGGAUAUCUGAUGCUGAUGAGAUUAAGGCCACAAGUGGUUAUGUUUUUACACUUGGUGGUGACACUGCCACUUUUGAAGCAGAGUGGCUUCAUGAACUCUUGAUGGACUUACCUAUGGUUGAAAAACCAAUACCCCCUAUCCUAAUGAACUGUGAUAAUCAAACUAUGAUCGUCAAGAUAAACAGUUCGAAGGAGAAUAUGAAGUCCUCAAGACAUGUGAAGAGGAGACUAAAAUCUGUCAGAAAUUGA
rnacentral:rRNA from 1 species